GAUAUUUAUACCUCAGAUAUUGUGUGCUGUUCAUUUUGAUACAGUGGGUUUUUCAUUUGUAAAGGUUAGUAGAUUGUCCGUGUUGGUAGAGCUAUAGAGGAGCUACUAGAUUUAAAACCUUACCAUUGUAAAACAACACAUUUCAACUGUUAGGGCUUCGUGAAAAGACAAACCAAUCCUGUAAAAUACAUUGUAGAAUGAGAUCCCGUUUUGUAAGAGUGUUUACAUGAUUGUAGGGUUUGGAUUCCUUUGACAUUCUCUCUGUUAGCGUCUACGUUGUUUCCUAGCUACUGGGGUUAGGAUUAGGAACGGGGUUAAAGUUAAGGACUGGGCAAGUGUUAGGGUUAGGAUUAGGUUAGGAUUAUGGUUAAGGUUGGGAUUAGGUUAGGAUUAGGGUUAAGGUUGGGGUUAAGGUUAGGUUAGGAUUGGGGUUAAGGUUGGGGUUAGGAUUAGGUUAGGAUUAGGGUUAAGGUUGGGAUUAGGUUAGGAUUAGGGUUAGGGUUAAGGUUGGGGUUAGGUUAGGUUAGGAUUGGGGUUAAAGUUAAGGACUGGGCAAGUGUUAGGGUUAGGAUUAGGUUAGGAUUAUGGUUAAGGUUGGGAUUAGGUUAGGAUUAGGGUUAAGGUUGGGGUUAAGGUUAGGAUUAGGUUAGGAUUAUGGUUAAGGUUGGGAUUAGGUUAGGAUUAGGGUUAGGGUUAAGGUUGGGGUUAGGUUAGGUUAGGAUUGGGGUUAAAGUUAAGGACUGGGCAAGUGUUAGGGUUAGGAUUAGGUUAGGAUUAGGGUUAAAUUUGGGGUUAGGUUAGGUUAGGAUUGGGAUUAAAGUUAAGGACUGGGCAAGUGUUAGGGUUAGGAUUAGGGUUAAGGUUGGGAUUAGGUUAGGAUUAGGGUUAAGGUUGAGGUUAAGGCUGAAGCUCAGGGUUAGGAUUAAGGUUAUGGUUGGGGAGGUGGGGGUAAAAUGGGGUAUUAGAAAGGCACCGAAAGGUUGCAAGAUCGAGUC
ensembl:lncRNA